UCGUUUCUUCUCCUCACGACCCUCGAUGUCUUUGUUAUCAUCGUUUGGACUUUGGAGGCCAUGAAAUAGCGAGAACAAAGAGAAGGAGAACAAAGAGAAGGACAGAGCAUAGACCUCUGGUAAUUGUUCGUGGAGCCCUAAUUUCUUCUCCAUCUUCCACCGACUCAGGGUUUGAGAUUUGAGAUUUAGGUCAAUGGCUCCUUCAUCUUCUAUAAAACUCUACAAGAACAUAAGCCUGGAUCGUAAGAAGCAUUCUCAGGAUCACCACUUUUCCCAUUCAAGAAUAGAAGGGGGGUCAAGAACAUCAUCGGACAGUUCGUAAUUCUAAUUCUGGUACCAUUCUCAUCUUUCUUCGGUGGUCAGCUUUGUUGUCGCUGGUCAUCAUCGACCAUUAAGCCAUGGUGAAGAAGUUGCUAUUGAGCUGCCAAAGCUCCGCGCGUAAGGAUACAUGUUCUAGGUGCACUAUGUAUAAGUGAUAUAUUCAGCCAUUGUUUGCUAUCUAGCGAUCUGUUGUUUGUGAGGUUGAUGAAGAUGAUUAUCUUUGGACACACAACAAGAGCAACAUUUUGGCAUGGUUACAUAAGUCUCUUACCAGAAAAUCAGAAAUAGCUCAAUGUAUUGCUACUGGUCGGUCGACGAACAUGGCUUGGAGGUAUCUUUAACCGUACAGGCCCCAAGAGUUCGGGAAGUAACAAAUACGUUGAUUUUAACUUCACUUCUGUUCAGGUAGCAGGAUAUCAGAGGCUGCGAGAACGUACCAAGUACCUUAUGACGAUACUCGUGUAGAGCAUCAGCGUCUGGAUUUGAAGAAGACACGGCUUCAGAGAUACUUGAUGCAUCAAACGAGAUCGCACAUUUCCUCGCACGGGCAGUUAUUGACGAUCCCCUCGCUCUAUUGAAUCUGGCUGAUAUAAGGAACCAGUUAGCACCAAAUUGCAACGGGAGUGAGACAGCUCAUGUGGCUCAGUCACUUAUAGGAGUGAGAGACUAUUGAGGUCUUGGGGUGGUGGGACGGGUAGGUAAUGGCAUACGUCAAGAAAAAAAAUCAUAAAAUUACUUGAAGAAUACGAGAGCGGGGGUGUUGUUGGUGAGGCAUGUGAGUGCAUCCGCGAUCCGGGAAUGCUGUUUUUUAACCAUGAGGUAGGAACAAGGCGUUGGUGAUGGCUAUGGAGAAGAAUGACAGGAUACUGGAUUUGUUGCAAGAGUGUUAUGGCAAGGGACUGAUUACUACUAAUCAAAUGACAAAAGGGUUUGGUAGGGCUAAAUACGGUCUCAAUGACCUGGCACUUAAUAUUCCUGAUGCUGAUGACAAGUUUAAGGUUCACUAUGAGCAUGUUGUGGUUAGAGGGUGGUUGGUUCCUGUGUAACUAUGACGCAUCAUAAGGUACUAGGUAGCUGGCUCGCUAGACUUGCUUCUUUUGAAGAAGGGUUGUGCAGAAGACAAUAUUAAACCUUUCUUCAGGUGGACCACCAAUACAAUAAAAAGCAUUUGUAUUCUCAAAGUUUUCAUCUGCAGUGCAAUCGUACUCCCAAUUAAAGAGUUACUUAUAAACCUUUGUAAAGUGAACUCAUUCAUACCCAAAUUAGCGAUAUUUACAUGUGUUAAAAGGAUUGUUGAUUCAAGCUCAUACGAGAAAGAUGUUUUGGAGUCGUAAGCAACUGAUGUGAGUGCAUGUGAAAAGCUGUCCUAAGAAGCUGGCUCGAUCUUGAAAUGGCUUAAGUAGGUCGGAACGUAUGUCGAAAACAAGAAGCAAGUUUUAGUGACACUAUAAUUUUCUGUGAUAUUAGUCCGGAUACCCGCCGCAAUGCGCGAACAUUUUAACUAUUAUAUAUACACCCACGCAUAUAUGAUUUUUUAAUGUUUUAGGUUUAAAUUAUGUUCUCGGGUCAUACUGUCAACUCCGCUGCAACGCGCGGGUUUCCCACU
rnacentral:lncRNA from 1 species